GUGAGGAAUAUUGCACAAUGGGCGCAAGCCUGAUGCAGCAACGCCGCGUGCGGGACGAAGGCCUUCGGGUCGUAAGCCGCUUUUCUGGGGAAAGAGCAAGGACGGUACCUCAGGAAUAAGUCUCGGCUAACUACGUGCCAGCAGCCGCGGUAAAACGUAGGAGGCGAGCGUUAUCCGGACUUACUGGGUGUAAAGCGCACGCAGGCGGCUCUGUGAGUCGGACGUGAAAGCUCCCGGCUUAACCGGGAGAGGCCGUUCGAUACUGCGGGGCUUGAGGUAGGGAGAGGAAUGCGGAAUUCCCGGUGUAGUGGUGGAAUGCGUAGAUAUCGGGAGGAACACCUGUGGCGAAAGCGGCAUUCUGGCCCUCACCUGACGCUGAGGUGCGAAAGCGUGGGUAGCAAACAG
rnacentral:rRNA from 1 species